rnacentral:rRNA from 1 species
UACGUAGGGAGCAAGCGUUGUUCGGAUUUACUGGGCGUAAAGAGCGCGCAGGCGGUCGUUCAAGUCGCGUGUGAAAGCCCCCGGCUCAACUGGGGAGGGUCACGCGAUACUGAUCGACUCGAAGGCAGGAGAGGGUAGUGGAAUUCCCGGUGUAGUGGUGAAAUGCGCAGAUAUCAGGAGGAACACCAAUGGCGAAGGCAGCACUCUGGGACGUGACUGACGCUGAGACGCGAAAGCGUGGGGAGCAAACAGG